GAAAUAAACCUGAUGAGUUGCUGCUGGUUCUCUAGGGAGCAUGUGCACACUUGUCAUCUUUGUAUCUUCACCUGUGCACCUUUUGUAGACCUUGGGUAUCUCUCUGAUUGCUUAGCACUCAGGAUUGAGGAUUGACUUUCUGUCUCUUCUUACAUUUCCAGGUCUAUGUUUCUUCAUAUGCCCUAAUGUAUGUUUAUAGAAUGUAAUUAAUGGGCCUUUGUGCCUAUAAAUCUAUACAACUUUCAGCAACGGAUCUCUUGGCUCU
rnacentral:misc_RNA from 1 species